AGUUUUCAACCUGUUGCGCCAGUCUCCGUCCGCCUCAUAACCACCGUCGUCUUCCGCUGUCGUCCCGGCUCAACCAACACUGAGCGCUUCCUCAGCGGAGCCCUCGCAAUCAGGUAUGUUAAGUUAACAUCACUCAAAACUAAAGGAUGGUUGUUUUGUUUGAGAGGCUGUGUGUAAAAUGUGUGGAUAUUUAAUACUUUUGUAGAUGAAAGUUUGCGGUCGCGUAGUUGCGCGGCUACAACGGCUCAAGCUAACAAGCCCGUCCCAGCCCGUGUCAACCCAUUCACCUUAGCAGCAAAGAGAAAGGUGACAGUAGAGAAACGUGAGGAGUGCCACAGAAAAGUCACUGCUUUUGUGGUGAAAAGGCUGCAUCCCUUCUCAGAAGUAGAAGCACCUACAUUUCGGGACAUGCUUUUUACAGGAGCUGUUUGCUGAUGAGAAUGCUCAAAAGAUUCCAUGCCCAUCCAGGACCAGGUAGAGAAGGAGCUGCACAUGUACAAGGCUAUGCCACGCAUUGUUACGUCUGAUGACGCUGCGGCCUGGUGGUGGAACAUGAGAACAACCUAACCUUGCCUGUCGGACAUGGCCUUCUCAUAUUUAUGUGUCCUGUUUUUGUAGUUACAUCUGACAUCAGGUCCAGUUUCAGUCUCAAACAAUAACACUAUUCACCAGCUAAUCCUCGUUGGCUCCUGAGAAUAUGAAGCUUAAGGUGCUGACAGUCUCUAAAGUGAUUUCUCCACAUUGGACCCCUGAUGCAAGGCGACAGUCACCAAACUACCCAAUGAAUUAAAAAUUGCUGUCAGUCCAGAAUAAUGUUUACACAUCUUUGUCUACAUUUAAUUGGUGUAAACUAGCUCUAUGUAAUGUCAAGUUCUAUGAGAAGUCACAUGAUUUCAGUGGUUUGUUAUCUUCUGGAUCGUCCAGCAGGUUUUUGUCUGAGAGCGUCAAUGUCUUUAUGACUGUCGUUUGUGAACUGUGAAUAUCCAUAUCCUAUUUAUUUAUUCAUUUAUUUAACAGGGACAGUGCACAUUAAUGAACAUUUCUGUAAACGUGCCAGAGUUAGCCAAGAGGCUAUUUUUCAUCUGUAGUCCCUGGACAGAUUUUAAAAGUCAACCUAAAACACAUUUAAUUUUAAACAAGUAAAUACAAUACAUUUAAAACAUGCAACAAUCAUUACUUGGAUACUUGAAUAAAACUAUUUAAUGAGUUCCAGAGCCUUGUCCCCGGGGGGCUGCUGGUACCACAGCAUCACUCUGUAGUCGGUUUGUCCGUGAGUGCAGAAAAGCUGCACGUCUUCUCCAGCCUUUCUGAUGACUGCAGAGGGAGACUGGUGGACCUGAAUCCCCAGAGAAACACCUGCUGUAAACAGAGGAGGACACAUUAGUGGUUUUAGAUGGGAAAUUGAUAAGUAAAGGACAUCUUAUUUGACUGUAAAGUAGAUGUUUCCCGUGAGGAAAUGGCAAAAGAGAAAUGUAAUGAUCUUGUAGAGACUGAAUGACUCUGAAGUGAUGGAGGAAAUGCAGUGAUCGUUAGGUCAUGAACAAUUAUCUGCUGCUAUACUCUCACAGUCACAUUUUAAGGAGGAAGCAGAUGUGAUGUAGGAAGGAGGAGUGGCUUCAUGUAAGAUAUAUUUGUCUAUGUUUAUCUACGUACUUCCCUCUUAAAAGACACUUAGCUUUUGACACAUUUUGAUCAGAUAUUAAAUGAUGUUACUGCACAUUUGCCUUGUUAAAUUGUAAUAAACCAAACAAAUACAAACACAA